GAGUGGCAGAGAUGUCCUCGCUCGCAAGAGUCGGUUCACAGGUGCUGCAUGGCUGUCGUCAGCUCGUGUCGUGAGAUGUUGGGUUAAGUCCCGCAACGAGCGCAACCCUUGCCUUUAGUUGCCAGCAUUUAGUUGGGCACUCUAGAGGGACUGCCGACGUUAAGUCGGAGGAAGGUGGGGAUGACGUCAAGUCCUCAUGGCCCUUAUGUCCGGGGCUACACACGUGCUACAAUGGUGGUCACAGAGGGAAGCCAAGUCGCAAGACGGAGCAAAUCCCAAAAAAGCCAUCUAAGUUCAGAUUGCAGUCUGAAACUCGACUGCAUGAAGUUGGAAUCGCUAGUAAUCGCGGAUCAGAACGCCGCGGUGAAUACGUUCCCGGGCCUUGUACACACCGCCCGUCACACCAUGAAAGUCGGCUGUACCAGAAGUCGCUGCGCUAACCGUAAGGAGGCAGGCGCCCAAGGUAUGGUCGAUGAUUGGGGUG
rnacentral:rRNA from 1 species